AGAGUAGAAGUAAUUCUAUCAGGCACUUUUGAAGUGGCCUCCGAUGCGAAGGUGAGAUCAGAAAUACGCCUGUGGAACCCUCUACAUGCGGAUCUGGCAAGCAUUCAACACAAACGCAAUUAGAGGGCUUACCCUUGCAUGAAAUAUUUGCUUUCCUGAUAGUCACUAACUUUAAACUUUAGGAAUGCCAGGGCAUAGUGUUUCUGUAUCAGAACUAGAAUCCUCUACUUCACUUUCUUCAGCUAUUAUUUUUGAAGUUUGCAUAUCGUAUUAAAGUCCCACCAAACAAUAAAUAGGAAAGCAUGAUUUUAUUAAAAUCCUCUUGAGACAACCGCAUCUGCCCUGGCUAUUCUUUGAUCAGGGUCUGAGAGGUUGCAGCAUGCACACUCACCCAGAGGUACUUGAGAGCAUUGUUCACGUAUUCAAUGAAUAUUGAAUGCUAGAGUGAAUCUACACUGGGCUUAGAUCAGCAUAAAUCUCCACAACUCACCUUCAAUGGUGGACACAGGCAACUAACCAGG
rnacentral:lncRNA from 1 species